AUUGAACGCUGGCGGCAGGCCUAACACAUGCAAGUCGAGCGGGGUUUUCGGACAUAGCGGCGGACGGGUGAGUAAUGCGUAGGAAGCUACCCGAUAGAGGGGGAUACCAGUUGGAAACGACUGUUAAUACUGCAUAACGUCGACGGACCAAAGUGUUGGAACUUCGGGCCACAUGCCAUCGGAUGCGCCUACGUGGGAUUAGCUUGUUGGUGGGGUAAUGGCUCACCAAGGCGACGAUCCCUAGCUGGUUUGAGAGGAUGCACAGCAACACUUGAAUUGACACACGGUCGACGAUCCUACGGGGGUCAGCAGUGGGGAAUAUUGGACAAUGGGAGAAUGCCUGAUGCUGCCCUGCGGUGUGUGUGAAGAAGGCCUUCGGGUUGUAAAGCACUUUCAGUAUGGAGGACGAGUUGAGUGUUAAUAGUACUCAGCGUUGACGUUAACUACAGAAGAAGCACCGGCUAACUCUGUGCAUGCAGCCGCCGUAACAC
rnacentral:rRNA from 1 species